rnacentral:rRNA from 1 species
GGGACAAGGUGUCGGUCACUAAGGUGACGCUCUCCCCUAAGAGUACUCCACUUUAGGCGGCAGACCCAGCACCGGCCGUCGUUCUGUUCUCAUCGCGGCGGGCAGAGACUGCACGAAGCAGUUGACCUCGGCAGCGCCGAUGGCGGUGGACAGAGGCCGCGCGAAGCGGCGGGCCUCGCCACCCCAACUUUCCGCCAUUCUGCCCUCAGCAGCGGCGACCGAUCGCGGCGAGUGGAGCCAGUGCGGCGCGACGGACCCCGGCACCAGAACCGACCCCUGUUCUACCCUAGGCAGCGCCGAUACAGACGAGUGGAGUCCGCGCGGCGCGGCGCGAGCCGGCACAGGAACCGGCCGCCGUUUUGUCCUCGGCAGCGCCGAUCACGACGGACGGAGGCCGCACGAGUUCCGGGCCGGUUCCAAGACCGGCUGGGCGAGGGAACCUCUACCACGGUACCACCUUGACGACGCGACAGUCGCCACCGGCUCUACAGCGCGUCAGCGUGAUCUUCUACGCUCGAGCUAUGAGUUGUCCGUUUCACAGUUCUAAACGGGAGACUACGUAUCACACACGUCGUUGCAUCCUCACUAGUAGGAAGUGUCUUAAUAUUACGUUAAGGCUUCCUAAUUAAACGUACAUAAACUUCUUUUCUUUGCCCCGAUAACUUCUACUUCGUGUCCCUCAAUAAAGGCUUCCUAAUUAAACGUACGGUAUCUAACUUGAAUAAAAAACCAACAAACGAACAAAAUUAGAAUAGUAGAAGCAUACUAUUUUCUCACAAGUAUUAGACAUCCAAGGUACGUGUCGUUACAUGGAUACCUGCUACUUCACGGUCGUUGAAGGUACGACUUCUUGUGUCAUCUACGACUAGGUGCCUCUUCCGUUUAAAAGAGAUAGUUAGGACUAGAUCAGAGUACACUAGGUCGCCGUUACCUCAUCUAGCUACAUUCGGCGUCUACAUACGCUGCUUCUCUAAAACCGCC